AAUGAACGCUGGCGGCAGGCCUAACACAUGCAAGCCGAACGGAUCCUUCGGGAUUAGUGGCGGACGGGUGAGUAACGCGUGGGAACAUACCCUUUGGUACGGAAUAGCCUCGGGAAACUGGGAGUAAUACCGUAUGUGGUCGAGAGACGAAAGAUUUAUCGCCAAAGGAUUGGCCCGCGUUGGAUUAGGUAGUUGGUGGGGUAAUGGCCCACCAAGCCAACGAUCUGUAGCUGGUCUGAGAGGACGACCAGCCACACUGGAACUGAGACACGGUCCAGACUCCUACGGGAGGCAGCAGUGGGGAAUUUUGGACAAUGGGCGAAAGCCUGAUCCAGCCAUUCCCCGUGCAGGAUGAAGGCCCUCGGGUCGUAAACUGCUUUUCUCUGUGACGAUUAUGACAGUAGUAGAGGAAUAAGGAUCGGCUAACUCCGUGCCAGCAGCCGCCGUAA
rnacentral:rRNA from 1 species